GACUCCAUCUCAAAAAAAAAAAAAGGGUCAGGGGGUAAAUAAUACCACAUUGUGGGCUAUGAAGUGGAUCUAAUUAAGGAUGUAUGUGUGUUGGGGUGGGGGUGGAAGAUUGGGGCGCAACAGCAUACAGCAGACAUCAGUCUAGUAGCCUCUCACAGACGGGCGAGUGGGACAGUCACGUUUCCGUGUGUGGGCCAGGGUAAACCAGAACUUCAGCCAUCAAUAUCAACAGCAGAUACCUCAUGGAUGCCCUCCUGUCAGAUGUGAGCUGGGGUCAGAAAGAAGUCAGCAGGCAUUUUCAAAUCCCAGCUCUGGCACCUCAUGCAUCUAUCGGUUCCCAGUCAUGACCCACCUAAGUUCUCUGAGCAUCAUUUACCUUGUCUGAAAAAUGGAGCUAAUAUGCCCACACCUCAGGGUUGCUGAAAGGGUUAAGUAUGAUAACAUAUGUAAAGCACCUGGCAAAGUGCCUGUCCCAUAACAGGAGUCCAGAAAUAGUAGCCUUUGCUGCUAGGUAAUGGAGAUAAAAAAUGGUAACAAUGAGGUCAUAAUAUACAUAUGAAGAUUUAAAAAACCAACACAAAGCUGCAUAUGCUGAGUUUUAAAGAAGGUGUGCUGAUCAUUGCUUCAGGGAUGCAGAGACCAGAGCACGGUUACUAUAAAUACAAUGCGAGUCGCUGUGUGGGCACCGUGGCUGGGAUCACCACCAUCGAGGCGGUGAAGUGCAAGAUUCAGGUUCUGCAGCAGCAGGCAGAUGAUGCAGAGGAGCGAGCUGAGCGCCUCCAGCGAGAAGUUGAGGGAGAAAGACGUGCCCGGGGAACAGGGAGAGGCUGAGGUGGCCUUCUUGAACCGUAGGAUCCAGCUGGUUGAAGAGCAGCUGGACCAUGCUCAGGAGCGCCUGGCCACUGCCUUGCAAAAGCUGGAAGAAUUGGAAAAAGCUGCUGAUGAGAGUGAGAGAAGUAUGAAGGUUAUUGAAAACCGGGCCUUAAAAGAUGAAGAAAAGAUGGAACUCCAGGAAAUCCAACUCAAAGAAGCUAAGCACAUUGCAGAAGAGGUAGAUAGGAAGUAUGAAGAGGUGGCCCAUAAGUUACUAAUCAUUGAAGGAGACGUGGAACGCACAGAGGAACGAACUGAGCUGGCAGAGUCCCGUUGCCGAGAGAUGGAUGAGCAAAUUAGACUGAUGGACCAGAACCUGAAGUGUCUGAGUGCUGCUGAAGAAAAAUACUCUCAAAAAGAAGACAAAUAUGAGGAAGAGAUCAAGAUUCUUAGUGAUAAACUCAAGGAGGCAGAGACCUGUGCUGAGUUUGCAGAGAGAUCGGUAGCCAAGCUGGAAAAGACAAUUGAUGACUUGGAAGAUAAACUGAAAUGCACCAGAGAGGAACACCUCUGUACACAAAGGAUGCUGGACCAGACUCUGACCUGAAUGAGAUGUAGAACACCCCAGUCCCACCCUGCUGCUGCUCCUCCCUCUGACCCAGACUCCGCCUGAGGCCAGCCUGCCCGAAGCUGCCCUUUAACUAAGGGCUGAUCUUUAACUGAAAGGCUGCUUUCUCCUUUUGCCUCCCCCUCCUUCCCUGUGUCUUUUUCGCCAAACAGUCUCUGCCUCUUCCCAGAGAUUCCAGCAGGGCUUAGAGGCUGAGCACCUUUGGAAACAACAUUUAAGGGAAUGUGAGCACAAUGCAUAAUGUCUUUAAAAAGCAGGUGGUGAUGUACACAUUUUGUCAUUACCUUUUUUGUUGUUUUGUAGCAACAUUUGUAAAACAUUCCAAAUAAUUCCACAGCCCUGAAGCAGCAAUCGAAUCCCUGUCUCACUUUUGGAAGGUGACUUUUCACCUUAGUGCAUAUUCCCCUCUCCAUAGAGGAGAGGAAAAGGUAUAGGCCUGCCUUACUGAGAGCCAAACAGCCCAGGGAGACUCCACUGUGGGAAACCUCAUUGCUCUGUACAAAGUACUAGCCAAACCGGAAAGGUGAUUCCAGGAGGAGUUAGUCAAACAACAACAAGAACAAAAAAUGUGCUGUUCAAGUUUUCAGCUUUAAGAUAUCGUUGGAUAAUGUUAUUUCUAUUUUUUAUUUUUUUACAUUAGACGUGACCAAAUUAAGAUGGUAAGACCUCUGAGACCAAAAUUUUGUCUCAUUCUUACCCCCUCCCAACUGCUUAGAGAAUGGAUCUUGUCUCCCUUAUGUUGAGGUGACCCCUUAAUUGCUUUCCUGCCUCGUUGAAAGAAAGAGAUUGUGUUUUUGCCACUGAUUUAACCAUGUGAAACUCAUUACCCUUUUCUGGGUUUGAAGCUGCUGUCUGUAGAAGUACCAUCUCAUUGUGCUUUGUAUCAGUCAGUGCUGGAAAAAUCUUGAAUAGCUUAUGUACAAAACUUUUAAAAUUUCAUAUUAUUUUGAAACUUUGCUUCUUUGGGUUUGUGGCAGCCUGGCCACCCCAUCUGGCUGUGACAGCCUCUGCAGUCCGUGGGCUGGCAGUUUGUUGAUCUUUUAAAAUUUCUUUCCCUACCGAGUCCCCAUUUUCUGGUAAGGUUUCUAGGAGGUCUGUUAGGUGUACAUCCUGCGGCUUAUUGGCUUAAAAUGUACUCUCCUUUGAUGUGGUCUCUUUGGGGUCUAUUGAGAGAAAGAGAAAUCAAUAGUGCGACUGUUUUGAUACUGAAUAUUGACAAGUGACUUUUUGAAAUAAAGAACCAGUCCCUCCAAAA